CGGGGACGCUGUGGGCCGGGGCUGCAGCCCACUCCCGCCCGCGUCAUAAAGAAGGAGCUCAGGCAAGUGGGAGCGCCCUGUGGUUCCGGGAUGUUAUCUUGUCAGGCAGCCAGUUGCCCUGCUGAAGAGUCGGAACUUACUAACUCGGCUGAAAGACGAAGAAACUGAGGCUCAGGAAGGAGGAGGGAAGGGACUUGCCCCGGCCACCCAGCUAAUAACCCCUCGGCUUCCCUGGUGGGCACCUUCAUGCUGCCUUUUCACCAAAGCCACGCCGGACCAGGGGGGUUAAACACGGCCUCCAGACAGAAAGAGGAAGAAGCCAAGAGAGAGAGAAGGAGGGAGGCCAGAGAAGAAACGGUGACUCUCUCUGGGUGGGGGGAUCAGAGGUGAAUUUUCCCCCAAAUGUUCCACCACCUUUUUUUUUCUUUUGAGA